GACGAAGGGGGCUAGCGUUGUUCGGAAUUACUGGGCGUAAAGCGCGCGCAGGCGGUCCUUUAAGUCUGAUGUGAAAGCCCACGGCUCAACCGUGGAGGGUCAUUGGAAACUGGGGGACUUGAGUACAGAAGAGAAGAGUGGAAUUCCACGUGUAGCGGUGAAAUGCGUAGAGAUGUGGAGGAACACCAGUGGCGAAGGCGACUCUUUGGUCUGUAACUGACGCUGAGGCGCGAAAGCGUGGGGAGCAAACAGG
rnacentral:rRNA from 1 species